GUUGUACAGGUGUCUAUUUAGCAGACGAUAAGUAAAUAACGAAAAAGAAGAAUUUGCUGUCCUUGCUCAUCUGUGUUGCAUGACUCUUGUCGGUGUAGCUUUCAGUCUCGACUCGACUGGGAUAAAGGACUGCUUGGCCAUGUGCCUUGAGAUGAGAAACAAUCAAGGAGGAAACAGAAGAAGGAGACGCUGUGAAGAUCUCAACAGAAAGCGAUGCUAAAAUGAGAAGUUGACCAAAUAAAAACAGCAGGGCAAUGAUUACGGAUGGCAACUGACCAAAAUAAGCCAGGCGAGGGCGCCAUCAAGGUUCUUGAGUCAUUGGAUCGGAAUGUAGUCGGCAUUAUUGGAUGAUGUUCGUACAGGUGAAUUCUCUAAUUAACUGGAGAGAGAAAUCGCCAUGACGAUCAAGGAGCACCCUGGAUGAGAGAUCACAUGACCCUCCAUUCAUCCACCCUGAAUCAGAUACUACACUCAUCGCUCUUUUUUUUGUAUUACCUGCAUCGGCAACGAGUCAGAGACUCAGGAGGAGGGGAGUUAAGAAGGAGAAGAGAACAAAAAGAACUUUGGUGGUAUAAAUGAUGGGCCUUUGAUGUGAGUGGAGGAAGGGAACUCUUCUGUGAACUUCAAAUGACAUUUGAUAAUGUAUGUGAGGUACGAGAGAAACCAUUGGAAUGAUUCAACCUAAGGAAAUCCUUAAAGUGUUCACAAAAUAUAAAAAGGUGUUUUCCUCUUGUAACUGUACAGUAGUCUGGAUUUCACCUUUAUGGGACAACUGGUUUUAAAUCUCAUCCCCCCUCUCUUCCACAAAGAGAAACUGGGUUGUGAAAGCUGACACAGUUCCAGGAACUUUUUAUCAAAAGCCCAGAUAAAUGUGCAGCAGGCCAUGCCCUUGCCCGAGGAAGAAUUUAUGGAGAAAGUUGAUGAGGUAAUAGGUCACUGUCACAGUGCCUAAUAAAGUGCAUCGAGGCCAGACGGAUGAAUUUUCUGGGAUGGACUUCAAAUCAAGUUGAUUUGGGGAUCCUUGCAUGUUGAGAAAGUAAAGAACUUGAUCGGUUAGCAAACGUCAGACGGACAUAAAUUCAAG